rnacentral:misc_RNA from 1 species
ACCUACUGUUUAAUUUUGAGGGUUCGUUUUUACGAAUACUCAAAAUUAGCACUUUAAGCAACAGAAUAAACUGAACGCAUGUGAAGUUUAUUUGUUGGCGCUGUGCGUUAGCACUUUAAGCAACGGGAUUUAUCCGUUGGCGCCGUGCUUUAGCACUUUGGAAACUGCAUAUAUAUUUAGUGAUAUGACAUCUAAUUUGUAAUGUAUAAAGCUGAUAACUUUUUAAAAUUAUCGAAGUUGAUAGCUUCUAAUCUAUCAAACCUUUUUAACUGGUCAA